CCAGUCGGGCGGCGCGCGCUUUCCCCUCCCCCGCAGCCCGGAGCGCGAGCCGCCGUGACGUCACGGGCCGCCCUCCAGCCCCGCGCUCCAGCGGGCCGAGCGCGUGCGGCCGCCGAGCACAUGGGCCCGCGGGCCGGGCGGACUCCGGGCGGCUGGGACCCGGAGUAUCAGCGAGGGGCCGCGAGCGAGGGUGGGCCCCGGCACGCGCCCGGAACCCCCUGAGUGGAUUUCCACGCGGAGAGGCUGUUGGCGGCCCCGGUGACCUGCGGAGACACGGCUGAAUCCACCUUCCAGUAAGUUAGAAUUCUGUCCUCUGCCUUUCUGGAAACUCGGAAGCCUCGGCCUUGCGGGUCGGGAUGCGUGGCUUGAUCUUUUGACCAGAACGGAAUUUAAGAGAUGGUCCCUCGUGGUGGCCGCGCCUGUCAGCUGCGUGGAGCUUCCCUGAAGGCUUUUCUGAGCCGUGUGGAUGUACAGUGAUUCUCGGCCGCCUGAGGAAUAACGCUGGUGGAAGCCCUCUCUCCAAUGACACACACCCGCCCCAUUUCUGGAUGCUAAAGGCGGUUUUGGGAAGGCCCUGGCUGAGUGCCUCGCGGAUUCCUGCAGCCCGGAUGCCCCUGGUGGACGGAGGACUGAAGCUUCCUGCCUUUGCUGCCGACAGGCAUGUUCGGUUGGGGCUCUGCCAGCUCCCUUGGGGGCUCCCUGUGAAACCAUCCUGCUCCACCUGGGAUUUAGGUGCCUUUAAUCUGACAAAAAAAGAAUACAUAUCCAUUCAGUACUCCAGAGGGACUUGGAAACUGUUCUUCCCUGAACUAAAGCUGGAAUAUCAUGGGAUGUGAAGAAUCAAGGCCGGGCUGAGGUUUCAGAGGAGUUCCGAGCUCCUGUGGAGAUUUGCUUCUCUCCAGCCUUGGGCUCUCUGCACUCUUGAACAUCUCAGGGCCCAGAAGAAAAAGAAGAAAGCCAGCCAGUUCUGGGAGCAGCCUGGGUGAAGAGAGGAGGAAGAAAGGAAGAGUGGGGAGCUGGGCACAAAAGGCUUAGCCCAUGGUGCCUUUUUGUGAGUUUUGCCACAUUUCAGAUGGGGUUCUCAGAUAAAGAAACAAAAGUGCAAGGAGGUGAGCAGGGCACUUAAGUACCAAAUGGAAGUUUUAUGUCAGAUCCCAGCCUCAACCACCAAAAGCCAGUUCCUUUCUCCAUCCUUGAUAUCUCUUCAUGUGAGCAUCGUCUCCCCACAGGGUCACCGUAACUGUUCUCUCUUUGGUCCCUCUGCCUCCAUUUUGGGCACUGCAGAUAUCACGAAAAGAAGCCCACACUAGCCUACUGGAGGCCUCAUGGAGAGAAAGACCCAACCACCAGCCAACAGCAACCACCUGAUACCCGAGUGAGACCAUCCGGGACCAGCCAGCUCCCAGGUAAGAGGGUCAGAGAGUGAGAGCGACCCCCAGCCCUGUUGCUCGGCGCAAGGGCUGCUGAGUUUCAGAUUUAAGUCCGUCCACCUCCAGCACCUUUGUCUGGAUGAAAGACCCUCCCUGGUGUCAUGGCAGUUGGAGGAAGAGAGAAAAUGAUCCCAGAAUAUUAUUUGUCUAAGAGGAACGUUUAAGAUAAAAUAGGCUAUGUGAGGCCUGCCAUUCAUCGUCCCCACAGCACCUGGCCUAGGUGGGAGCCGGGAUCUAUGGUGAUGGAUAGGAAUGUUUUUCGAAUUCAGCUGUCAAAGCCCGGCAAUCAUCCCUGCCUCCUGGGUGGAACAUUUACAAUCUUCCUCUUUAGCGGCGUCUUAAGACACACAGGCACUUUUGUUUCCAUGGAGAGCCCACUCUUCCCUCUAAGGAAGAGGUGAGAACACACAGAGACACAGAAUAGAUGAAGAUGGAAACAGAGAUUGGAGUGGUGCACCUAUAAAGACAAGGAAGUGAGGGAUUGCCAGGAGCCACCAGAACUUGGAAGAGGCAAGGACGGAUCCUCCACUAGACCCUUCAAAGGGAGCAGAGCCCUGCCGACACCUUGACUUCAAACUUCUGGACUGCAGACUGUGAUGCUUUCCCAGUGCAGUGACUGCCACAUGUUGUUGGGAUUUUGGUCCAAGCCACAGAAGAAGACAGUGAAGCUAAGUGAUGCAGGAAGUAAACUCAUGACCUUAGAUUCGGGAAACUGGUGCACCAACCACUGAGAAACCAGAGAUGGAGGAUUUUUGCACAAGCAUGAGCAGAGUAUAAAUCAACAUCUCUGCCUUCAACAAAAUCCGCAUCUCACGUCCCCCAUUGAAUACGCCUUCCACGAAGACCCCAGCUGAGUCCUGGUGUGUUUUUAUUUGUUUUGAAAGCUCUCUCUUCUCUGUCAUUCUUUCCGGCACUGUCUGCGACGCGUGAGACUACUUGUUUCUUCAAGCAUCAUGUGGUUCUGCAGAGCUUAGACGGAGUUACAAUGGACUUCCAGAUCAGAUGUCAUUGGCAUUUAAGGGAGUCAUCCUGAGAGGAACACUCCAGAUCGCUCAUUUGGGGAGAAGCAGACUGCGUACUGUGAGCAGACCUAUCGAGAAAUCCCUGUGGUUAAGUAACUGGUGACUCUGAUCCACAGCCAGCAAAGGCCUGAGGCCUGCCAAUAGCCAGAUGGCUUUAUCGAGAUGCAAUUGACAUAAAACAUUGUGUAAGUUUAAGGUGCACAACGCGAUGACUCACUCUGUGUGUAUAUUGUGAAGUGAUUACUACAAUAAGAUGACCUCAAAUUGUUACCUUUUUUGGUGUGCGUGGUGAGAACUUUCAAGAUCUACUCUCUUCCAACUGCCAAAAAGUAGGAUCAUGAUCAAGAAGAAUAGAAGGUGGAAGAGGAACAGAGGGAGAAAAAAAGUUCCUCAUUUGAACCCUUCGUCUGUUUAGGUCUAACAUCUAUUCUCUUGGCAUCCCAUACCUGAUGAGAAUUUAUGGCUAGUUGGAUAUAACAGCCAAAGCUCUCUCCCUGUGACUUAUAUGCAUCCUGAUGUAUUUCAAUUUUUGCAUACAGGAAGGUUUCCUAGUUGGAGGAGAUGCAAUUCUAUUUUGAGGUUGUGGACUCAAGGCGCCACUAAACGGAGAUUCAUGUGCUUUCAUUGACGUAAAGUGAAUCCUUCAUUUGUGGACAGCUUUGCUGCCCAAACCCAAUCUGUUACUGCAGCCAAUGGGCUUAUCUGAAGCAUCUGUGGAAAGAGAGCAGGGGAGCCAGGAGACCUGAGUUGCUGGAUCGUGAUUCUGCUAAUCCCAGGGGGUAACCCUGAGUAUGGCCAGAACACUUUUGGUCGUGGCUGGUGUGGCUUGUGACACUGCUUCAGGAAGACUUUCCCAACACCUGAAGAAUUUCUAUGUUCCUUUUCCCAGCCUGGGAUGUCUACUUACCAUAUUGCCAGCUUCUGGACCUGUUGUGUCUGGGAUGCAGGCUGAA